UAACUGCGAUAUAAAAACACAUUGCAGUUGGUAGUCUGCAAGCAUCAUAGUGAUGAUGUCAGUAACCUUCCCUCCAAGGUCGUCCCUUAUCAAUUUUUACAUG
rnacentral:ncRNA from 1 species